rnacentral:rRNA from 1 species
UACGAAGGGUGCAAGCGUUACUCGGAAUUACUGGGCGUAAAGCGUGCGUAGGUGGUUUGUUAAGUCUGCUGUGAAAUCCCCGGGCUCAACCUGGGAACUGCAUUUGUGACUGCAAGGCUAGAGUACGGUAGAGGGGGAUGGAAUUCCGCGUGUAGCAGUGAAAUGCGUAGAUAUCAAGUGGAACACCAGUGGCGAAGGCGAGUCUCUGGACAUUUCCUGACGCUGAGGCACGAAAGCCAGGGGAGCAAACGGG